rnacentral:rRNA from 1 species
GAUGAACGCUGGCGGCGUGCCUAAUACAUGCAAGUCGAGCGAACAGAUGAGGAGCUUGCUCCUCUGACGUUAGCGGCGGACGGGUGAGUAACACGUGGAUAACCUACCUAUAAGACUGGAUAACUUCGGGAAACCGGAGCUAAUACCGGAUAAUAUAUUGAACCGCAUGGUUCAAUAGUGAAAGACGGUUUUGCUGUCACUUAUAGAUGGAUCCGCGCCGCAUUAGCUAGUUGGUAAGGUAACGGCUUACCAAGGCAACGAUGCGUAGCCGACCUGAGAGGGUGAUCGGCCACACUGGAACUGAGACACGGUCCAGACUCCUACGGGAGGCAGCAGUAGGGAAUCUUCCGCAAUGGGCGAAAGCCUGACGGAGCAACGCCGCGUGAGUGAUGAAGGUCUUCGGAUCGUAAAACUCUGUUAUUAGGGAAGAACAAAUGUGUAAGUAACUAUGCACGUCUUGACGGUACCUAAUCAGAAAGCCACGGCUAACUACGUG